rnacentral:rRNA from 1 species
AAUCAACGCUGGCGGCGUGCCUCAGACAUGCAAGUCGAACGCGAAAGUCCCCUUCGGGGGACAAGUAGAGUGGCGCACGGGUGAGUAACACGUAGGUAAUCUACCUUCGGAUGGGGAAUAACAACCGGAAACGGUUGCUAAUACCGCAUAAUGCAGCGGCACCUAAUGGUGACAGUUGUUAAAGCGGGGGAUUGAAAGACCUCGCGUCUGAAGAGGAGCCUGCGGCGGAUUAGCUUGUUGGAGGGUAACGGCCUACCAAGGCGACGAUCCGUAGCCGGCCUGAGAGGGCGGUCGGCCACACUGACACUGACAUACGGGUCAGACUCCUACGGGAGGCAGCAGUCGGGAAUUUUGGGCAAUGGGCGCAAGCCUGACGCAGCGACGCCGCGUGAGGGAU